GAAAAGUCAUGGUCAUGCCAUAAGCCAAAAUAUGGUAAAAAUAUUUUACAAAUUUUAUUUUUUAUCCUUUAUUUUUCAAAUUUGUUAAGUAAGUACAUUUAGUUCCUGCUGGCAAAGAUGAUGCUACUACUUUACACAUGAGACAUGUGGUAAAUUACAAAAGUAUUUUGUUAUUUGCGUGAUCUUCAAGUGUUGCUGCAUAAUUCUGCCAUUGUUUCUAAUGCUGGUACUGAUAGGAAUGUAUGUGUUUGAGCUGAUGUUUCCGGACUACUAUAUGAAACAUCACAAGAGUAAACUCUCGUACUAGGGCUUCAGUGUGAUAAGUGCGAGAGAGUACUCGCCUUGGACCCGUUUCGUUUUAUCUAAAGUUUUCCUAUUCUCGCUAUGGUGGACUACGUCGGUCGGUUCGGGUGUCUCGUGGGAGUGGUAGCCCUGCUGGUACUGUUGUACCACUACUUGUAUUACUUCCCGAAACCUUUCUACGAGUACGAGGUCACGUACUGGGGGCGCUUUCAGCACGGCCUGACGCCGGACUUCUCAAUACCCGAGUAUUUCUGGAUGUCGCAUAUGUACGAGAAAUACUUCAACAAAAACUAUAAAGUGAAGUAUGAGUCGAUAGACGAGUAUUUCGAUCAAGUGUUCGCUGAGAUUAUGGCAACGUACACUACGGCUCUAUACGACGAAAACCUGGAGGGAGAACAGAAUACCGUGGCUAAAGACUAGUGUAUCAUUGGAGGCGUAAGGUGCAAAAAAACUGUUAUGGAAUUUUAGUAUCGAUUUGUUUGUGUAACUGUAUGUUUGUUAUUUAUUAAUAAAAAAUAGAACAAGUGUA